rnacentral:misc_RNA from 1 species
CAAGAAUUUCCCCAAAUUCACUUGUUUAGUUUCUAAUAUUUUUCUUUUUGAAGCUUCCAUAUCUCUUAAAUACAGAUAUCGAAUAUAAUAGACUACACCAAAUGGUUUCAUUUUAACUUGUCGCUUAUAAUUUCAUUUUGGCAGUGGAUCAUUCAUAUAUUUCACAGUUAGUUGCAGAUACUUAACUAUCAACUCCAAGCCCUGGAGACAAAAGAUGCGUCAGCUGGGUAAAUUGCAGCCAAUAACCAGUGGGAUACCUACACUGAAACGGUGAAACAUAUCCAGUUCAUCCCUUUAUUUUGCCAGGAUAAGAGAACCACAAGCAGCAGAAGCGUGCUUUCCCUCUUUGUAGACAAGAUUUCCUCUCACAAAAGUUGCCAAAACUUUUCCUGAAAGUUUGGUUCCCAUGUAGGCUGAGAUUCUCUGUAAUUCAAAGAUGAUUAGUGCUUACAACUAUACUAAAAUAACUCUCAGUAGGCAACAGGCAUAGUACACCUUGAAGGAUCACCAUUAACGGAAAAUAUAUUGAUAAGAAUGCAUACCAAGUGUGAAGGCAGGUUUAUUGGCUUCUGAUUAAUUUCGAAUGUUCUUUUCAUGAUUUAAAAAUCAAAAUCCUCAAACCAACGAGUUCUAAUAAUGUUCUUCUCCCAUAUUCUCACUCUUUCUUCAAAAAAAUACACUAGUCACAUGGAUGCAAUUAUAUAAAAUUUUCUGAAUGCUUAAGAGAAGAGGAGGAGGUAGGCAGGGAGGGGGAGGGGAGGAGGCGGUGAAGAAGGGAGAACAUCCAAAGCAAGCAGAAGUAGUUGAGUCAAGUUUAUCAAAGAAAACUGGAUAGGAGUUCAGAAGGCAUACAGGAUGUUUAAGGUAUAUAGGAAGAUCAUCAUUAAGCUCAAAAUCUGUGUUUGGUUCCCAUACAAAAAUAUCUGCAUGCUUUCCAACUUCAAUGCUCCCCUUUGAAUCUUGUCCAAUGAGCUUAGCAGGUCUUUCACUCCACCACAAUGCUAACUGCUCCAAAGUUACUCCAUAAUUUCGCCCAUAUGACCAUGUCACGGGAAACACAAACUGCAGAUGCUCUCAAGAGAAUGACUAAGAGUUCCAAACCAGUAAUAGACUAAUGGGAAACAAAUAAAGUGGAGCUUAAGUAUAGAGUUUUAACCAAAAUUAAGAAAAGAGAUAUUCUUGCUGCUCUUAUGUAAAUGCAAUUUUAUGAUCCUAAAAUUUGGCAAGAGAUUUCCUUUUUGAACUCAUUGUUGCACAUGUCAUUUAUGUACUAAAGUAAGUUUAGGACUGAAAUUUUCUGGCGGCCAUGAAAAUUCCUUCACCAUAAUGACACUGAAGGUUAUCAUUGCACCACAGGAGACAAUAAGAUCUAUUAAUAUAUAGAGAUGUCUCUCAUGCAUGCUGAGGAAAAUUGAAGCAGCUAACUGAAAAUUCAUAGUUCUUUUCUCUCUCUCAACUUUUCCUUUUAUUUUAAGAACUGAACAUGAGGACAUAGCAUGUAAUUAUAACUUUAAGUUGAUUGCAGAAUUGCCCAGUGAAAGACAAAAGAUUAACCCUGGAGGAAAACAUAUGCUUGGAGCACAGGAGCAGGCCAAAAAGUCACGCAUUACUCAAUAAAAUUGUUGAGAUAUUACCAUAUUUUAGUUUCUGCAAUUAUGUAGUAGAUUUUGUUAUGAUCACAUAUUACUGAAAGUUAGGCUAGAAUCAAGGCUAGAAUCUGUAAAUCUUUCUAUUAUUUGUAUUCUGAAAAUAAUAUAAAUUCCCAAUCAUGCUUGAGGGAAUAAUCAAGCUUUUUCCUCACAAAAAUGCCCCUCUUUCUUCUUAAAUUUCAAAAAUAACCCACCUGGAUGCCUUUUGCAGUUCCAUAAUAACAUAUCUACACACCAACUUAUUGAAAUUCAAAAUGGUGACAUCAUGAAAAAAACAAUGGAUGCCCCAUAUAAGAUUAUAUUUGAGGAUAAUAAUGAGUUCUUGGACAUUCAUUUCUCCUAGAGAAGGCAAAGGUCAGAUAAGUAGAUAUUCAUUGAAGCACUAACCUGCAAAGAUGAUAUACCGCCCCAAGCCUUCAAAAAGUUGCCUUCAUUAAGGAGUUUAAGUUCUGGCACCGUUGGUGAAUGAUCAGAACUUAGCAUAUCAAUAUCUCCUUCCAGUAAAGCUUUCCAUAAUGCUUCUUUAUUGGCUGCAUCACGGAUGGGUGGAGCACAUUUAAAACGAGUAUCUCCAUCCUGAAUCUCCUCUGCUGAAAAGGCUAGGUAAUGAGGACAUGUCUCAACAGUCACACUGUCACCACUUCUUUUUGCUUCCUUUAGAAGUCGUAGGGAAGAACCUGAAUCAGAGAGAUGAACAACAUGAAGAUGAGCUCCUUCUGCAGGACCACCAAUUCUUGUGUCCUUUGAUAGUGUCAAAAGCUCUCUAAUAGCUGCCUCCUCCCAAGCUGGUGGCCUUGUCUUAAGGUAUGUUGAAUAAUGUCGAGGGUCAUUUGCAUCAUCUUCUAAGUAAUUCUCAGAAUCUAGUUGAAUCUCUGCAUGUACAAGUAAAGGUCUUCUGUAUUUUGCCAGUACAGAUAAGCCCUCCUUGAUAUGACUGGCAUUGGUCAUGGGAAAGUCAUUGAUCCCUGAAGGACACAUAAAAGACUUUAAACCAAGAACACCUGCACUUAGGAGAGCGUCCAGAGAACUUGCAUUGAAAGCAUUUUCAGGAACUAGGCCUCCCCAGAAACCAACAUCAACAUAAAUACUCUUUUCUGCAGCCUCAAGCUUAAGUCUCAAAGUUUCCACAGAAACAGUUGAGGGGAAGCUGUUCAGAGGCAUGUCAAUCAACAUUGUAAUGCCCCCGGCAGCUGCUGCUUUAGUUCCUGAAGGAAAUCCUUCCCAUUCAGCUCUUCCAGGAUCAUCAAGAUGCGCAUGCACGUCGAUGAGGCCAGGCAUAAUGACGGCUUCAUCAUAAUCAAUUAUCUGUCCUCUCUUGGAAUUUCUCUGCCAAUCUUCUUCCUUAACUAUGGAUACAAUAAUCCCUUCCUUCACCUCAACUGCACCAGAAAUGACUCCACGAGGUGUCACAAUGCCCUUGCUGGUUAUCCAGUAAUGGUUGUAUGGAAGAAGACUGCAAUCACUGGUAGAAAACUUGGAAGAAUCAUGGACGUAGUAGAAGUAGAGAAAGGAAGCCAGAAGUGCCAGCAGAGGUAAUAUCCGCCAUAGAAAAUGAUCCAUCCCCCUCUCUCUAUCUCUCUGUGCCUCUUUCUCCACGGAGAGAGACGAAACUUACAGUUGCAGGUAAAC